AGUGUCCUUUCGGGGGCCGCGGUGACAGAGUUGAGACUGGACAUAGAGAAGCAAAUGUCUCGGUGUAGUAAAAUAAGGAUGAGUGCACCUAUUCCUCGGAGUUUUCUAAGGACUGAUGGAUUCAUAUGUCUGACAGUGCCUAGGACAUAACACACCUGUGCCAGGCACCUGCCCGUAGCUGUGUAAGAGACUGUUACUUGGGCUCUUCUCCAUAACUGGCCAGUAACAUCAGGAUUGAAGCCCACGCGGUCACCUUGCCUUGGGGGAUGCCGACUUCGCCCACAGUGCCCCGUGUCACCUGAGAUCACCCGCAGCUCUUCUGUGAGUCCCUGCUGAACUCAGCCUUGCGACCGUGCCCAUCCGUGAACCUGACGUGUAAGCGAAGCCAUCUCAGACCCAUCAGACCAGCCCAUCCGCCAAACGAAUUCCUCCAGCACGUCCGGUGUCUCUUUAGAGGAGACGGCAGCACACCUGAGACUGGAGCUGAGAGUCUCCGAAUAUCGGGAAGCAGAUGGUUUUUCCAGGCCUGUGGACACUUCCCCCAAGGUUUAAGAUCCACUGUGACAGUUUUCUUGAUCCUCCCUCACAUCACUUCCUAAGCAGGGAAAAAUGAAAAGGGACCAGUUCCCAGUGACUCGUCUCGGACUUCCAGGAUCAAACAAGGACAGAUGACAACUUAAUGGAAAAGAAAUGGAGAUAAAAAUAGGAGGGUUUCUCUCAGCCUGGGUCCUGUCAUGAAGCUGAUUGCCCAGAUCCUUCCAGAAGAAAUGCUGAUAAGGAAAUGUCUGGAAAAGCCUCAAGCAGAUAAAACUCCAUUACUCCUCAGGUGCUGGGCUCUGCUGGCCUUGGACUCUGAAACCAUCCCCCUUCCUCGGAGGGCGGACCCGCGACUUGCACUUGACUCUUCAGGUGGGGGAGGGCUGGCCAUGCACCACUGAUUCCAGGCCCUCUCCUGGAUUUUCAGACUCUGGUUCCUUCAGCUUGCCUGCUUUUGCCUCAUGGUGCUCACAACCUGUCAUCUUUUUUUUUAUGAGAACCAGUAUGAAGUCGUAAAGAGCUGAAUCUCAACUCCGCUGGCAAGUUACUGCAUCUCCUGGUGCCCGGUUUCCUCAUCUAGCAUUUCUUUUUGUAAAUUAACGGAGCACUGUCUCCGUCCUAGGCACUGGGCACGAUGUUGGAGGAAAGUGUCACCUCCUUAUAGGUUUGUGGUGAAGAUUAAAUAAGGCGAUUCAGUGCAACACCUAACAAGUGGUAGAAUGAGUAGUCAUAGCUGUCAGCGAAUACAGUUGUUCUCACUGUUGUUAUUUCCAUGUCUGUUGGAGAAGAGCGGGGUUUGAAAGGCCCUUGGUAGCCUCUGACCCUCGGGCCAUCACAGAGAACCCUCUGCGCUUUCCACUGGGUCAGGGCUGCUGUCUUCCUAGACUUCUCUUUGGAACCACAGCCCAUUCACUU